ensembl:lncRNA
GCACCAAGGCACGCCGAGGGAAGCGCGAGACGCCACGCUACGAUCUGGUCCUCCCGGUGCUCCGCCGUCCACUUCCGGUGGGGGGAGCUGCAGUCCGUUAGUCCGCCGGUCGUGGGCGUGCGCAUGCGUGGCCAGCGAGGUCCAGGGGCGCAGUGGGGGGAGCCCCCGGGUGGACAUCGGCCCCUUGCCUACGCAGGGCCGCCGCGAGGAUUUUCGGAGGGUCCGCCGCCGGGUCUGGGGAACCCAGCCUUCCAUGCCAAUCUACCACUAGCUGGAGCUGCCCCAGCCCCGCUGGUCAGGGACCCUGGGUGAGGGCCAGCUUUCCGGUUAGCAUCACCUGGGGGGAGCAGGAGCGAGAGUAGGCCUCAAAAAUGACGUAAAAAGGCGCAGGCGACUCCUGUGUGCACUGAUGGGAGAGCUGUGAGUUAUCUAUCAGUGGGCUUUCCCUGCUCUCUGGCUGGUUCUGAGGGCUGGACCUCGCUCCCCGCCACCGCCACCCCCACCCGCAGGAUUCAGUGGUCUCCUGCUGCUAUCAGAAGUGGCAUCUCAGGCCUGCCACUUGCUUUUGGAGUUGGAUGCAGAAGUGUCCUGACUCUCAGCCCCUUGGAAGGCCCAGGUGAUUCCUGUGCCCCGACAAGACUGAGAGGUGCUGCUUCAAGAGAUUACAGCUGAAUAGAAAAAGAAAAGUCGGAAAAUGAUAGCAGUGAAAUAAGAUGCUGUUCAAAAAACUGCUCAGGUGAAUCUGAGUGGCACCUUCACUACUGACUUCUCUCCCAGUGACUCUUUUGUCAGCUGUCGCGUCGCUGGAUUUUCACUUUAGGACCUGAACGCAGGGCUUACUUACUUCCUACUGUAGAUGGCACUUUUCUCUGAGGACUCAUGCCUCACUCAUUUCUGGAACAAUUUAUGCCGAGGAUCAAGACCAUCUCUCCAGGGUUGUUUCUUUGCCUGAAGAUAAGAGGACACAAGUGGGUGACCUUCACAUUUUUUUCUCUAUGGAAUUGCCUGGUGCAGACAGAAAAACCCAACUGCAAAAACCCAACAAAGCACACCAUUUGGCUUUUGCUUAUCUCUGACUUAGCCAGUCUUGGAGAAUUGAGCAAUGAUGCCAGCUGGCGCACAGUUGAGCCUGCAUCAGCAUCGAUGCCAGUGGCACCACAGUGCGUCUCCGUCUUACUAACGUGCCUCAUACAGGCGUUCAACGUGUGUGCCGACAAAGGAGAGCUGACAGUCAUCCUCCCAGUCAAGAAGCUGUUACGGACGUUUGAGGAUGAGCUGGGUGAAAAUUAGAUUAUGACCUGGAGAUCUGACUGUAGAAUUGAUUACUAUAAGGUGUUAUAAAACAGCAUUUUUAGGAGAUGAAUAAAACUUUGUAAAGUACUACUGUCA